UCUUGACCUCGGAUCAGGUAGGGAUACCCGCUGAACUUAAGCAUAUCAAUAAGCGGAGGA
rnacentral:rRNA from 8 species